AUUUUCCACCAGGGUGAGAGCUGCUGGGCCUGGAUGGCAUUUUGGGGAUUAAUUGGUUAUUUGAAGAUGGACAGACGGUGCAACCUAAAAAGCCCGACCAGGCGACUAUAAAUAACCCUGUUCUGUGAGGAUGAUCGGUAAACAGAGGCAAAAGAGAAAGCGGGAAAAAAAAUAGAAAAGUAAAAAUGUUGGCCACAGCAUAUCCUGGUCCUGAACGUGCGAAUUCAGUCAAGGAAAAUUUGCUUCCAGUGGACACAACCUCCCCAGUGCUGACGGUAUUGGUGGGAUUAGCUGGAUCAGACCUCCACCCGAUUCAACGUAAUCUCUCGGCAAGAUGUUAUGGUGAGGUUGAUCACAGAGGAUAAAGCCCUAAAACCCUCAACCGAAGUGCACUACGCUACCGUUUCUGCCACUCCCUCUGGUUUGCCGUACCAGACGAACAAACAAGCAAGCGGAAAUGGAGGCGACGGUGAUGGAAGUGGAGCAUUCAAACUCAAAUUCGAUCAAGCGAUUUGGACUCAAAAACUCUAUCCAAACUAACUUCGGUGACCACUACGUUUUCCAAAUCGUCCCCAAGGAUGAUUGGUCUUCAAUGGCGGUUUCGCUAUCCACCAACGCGGUGAAGCUCUACUCUCCGAUGACAGGUCAGUACCAAGGAGAGUUCAAAGGUCAUUAUGAUACCAUCAAUCAAAUUGCUUUCUCUAAUUCGUCGACCCCGCACGUCUUGUACUCUUGCUCUUCUGAUGGCACCAUAAGAGCUUGGGACACCAGAACUUUCCGCCAGGUGUCGUGUAUGAGUGCCGGUUCUUCUCAAGAGAUCUUCAGCUUCUCAUUUGGAGGCUCCAGUGAUAAUCUUCUUGCUGCUGGGUCUAAAUCUCAGGUUUUAUGAUUUUCAACUGGUUAUCUUUUCAAUCGAUGUCUUUUUCUUCUAAUUGUUUUUAAAAAAAUUUUAAUAGUCUGUGCUGGUUGUUCAUAAUGCGACAUUUCUUUGGUUAGCUUCAGUAAUUGUCUUCUCAAGGGAUGAGCGCUAUGUGCUACCAUUAACUGUUUGUUAUAGUCUAUAGAAACUUUGAUACACGACAUUGUUAGCUUCAGUAUUGUCUUCUCAAGGGAUGAGCGUUAUGUACGACCAUUAACUGUUUGCUAUAGUCUUUAGAAACUUUGAUACACGACUGUAUGUUGAUGCGAGUUCGUUGUUCACUCAGAUACUUUUCUGGGAUUGGAGGAAUGAGAAACAAGUUGCAUGUCUGGAAGAUUCGCACACGGAAGAUGUUACUCAGGUCCACUUUGUCCAUGGCCGCCGAAACAAGCUUCUUUCUGCUUCUGUAGACGGAUUGAUGUGUAUUUUUAAUACUGAUGGGGAUAUCAAUGAUGAUGAUCAUCUGGAAUCAGUAAGUGCAGGUGAUUAAUGUGGGAACUUCAAUUGGGAAAGUGGGAUUUUUUGGUGAGAACUAUCGAAGGCUUUGGUGUUUGACACAUAUUGAAAGCUUAAGGUAUCAGUUGGUGUCUUCCUGGUGCUCAUGGGAAACGAGUUUUAUUCUGUUGUUGUCCAUUACAAAAUAUGAGCAUAUCACAAUCAAAGAAUAUGGUUCUCUUUAUUCUUUGCAUCUGUUAUAAAUUUUUGCCCUUCUUUUGAAAAAAAAAACUACAGCAUUUGGGACUGGAAGGAUGAGAAAAAUGAAGCAAACUUGCAGGAAGCUCGCUCCUUAGCAUCUGACUGCUGGUCCUUAGAUCAUGUUGAUUAUUUUAUUGAUUGUCAUCACUCAGGAGAAGGUGAAAGUUUAUGGGUGAUUGGUGGAACUAAUGGUGGUGCAUUAGGCUAUUUUCCUGUAAAUUAUAGAGCAGGGACAAUAGGAUCACCGGAAGCAAUUCUUGGGGGUGGGCAUACGGGUGUUGUUAGGAGUGUAUUGCCGAUGUCAAGCAUGAAGCAUGGACUUGCCCAAAGUCGAGACAUUUUUGGAUGGACUGGCGGUGAAGAUGGCCGCUUAUGUUGCUGGUCAUCUGAUGAUUCUACAACGAUAAAUCGCGCUUGGAUUUCAGGUGCACUGGUUAUGAGAUCCUCAAAAUCCCGCAAGAAAAAGAGGCAUCUACCUUAUUAACAGAAUGAUGUGUUAAAAAAUUUAUAUGUUCUCUAUGUUCUUUUCAGAGUUAUUUUAAAAAAUUUUAAUUUUCUCCCUCUAUUUUUCAGAUUUAUCUUCCAAUUUUGCAGCAACGAGCAUGCUUCUUUUGCAACUUUUUGGUCCAUAGGAUGUUAUGAAUUAUUUAUACAGUUAAAUGGAUUGGAAAAAUGAAACGCCUACACAUUUUGAC
rnacentral:misc_RNA from 1 species